rnacentral:piRNA from 1 species
UGAGUCUUGCUUUAAAUUGUCCUGACACU